GAUCGCGAUCGAGCCUUGGAUCGUCUUCGACUGCCUUGUGAGGACUCUUGGAGGUUACACUUGAGGUUUGAGACCUAGUGGAGCUGAUCUUUGGAACUUCUUGUGACUAUUGGAGCUUAGUACUAGAGCCAUCUGCAGGAGAGGCUAAGGAUCGUGGCAAGG